UUGUUUAGCUUUACACAGAUCAAAUCCUCCAGAAAGACUCGGAGAGGUCGGAAGUUUUAAUAACUAAUACUUCAGAGUUUAAACAAGCAGCACAGAGAGGCUCCUUUUCCGAGUUUUUGUCAAAGUCUAAGACACUUGGAUCCCUCUUUCUGUGAGGAAUUUUUGUUGAGAACUCUUUGCCGAACGAGACGGUGAAAGGGGCUGCUGGCACCGAGAGUGGACUGGUGAAUGAGCAGAGUAAGAAAGAGUACAACAGGGUGGUUACGUGCCCAACUCUUAUUUCUGACUGUGAGCAGUUGCCAGGCAACCAGGGAAGACACAUGAAGUUGGAAUGAAAAAGUCCCCCUGAAAUGAAACUCCCUUGGCAUUAGUCUGAGCUGGGCCACUUCUGCCAGUUGUUAAACUGCUGAAACAUAUGGCUCAUCAUUUAUCUGUUCCAGCUGUGUCCCUCUCUAUCUCCCCACACAUCCACCAACCACUGGAACACAUCUCCAAAGUUCUGCCGGGCCAGCUCAGCUUCCCCUCAGAAGAAGUGCUGCCACCUGCCAGAUGAAGGAGCCUUUUGAGAGGCAGCUGGCAUCGUGAUUGGACUGUACUUUGGUCUGUUCCAGCUUCAGCUCCAGAGACGGCAGGCGGGACGAGUCAACGGAGGCCUGGUGGACGAAGGCAUGCAGCUGAGUACAAUCCAGAAAACAACAGAGGAGGAGUGCAGCGGCCCAUUAUAGCCUUUGACCAAAGAACUACAGACUCUUCACAACCUGCUCAAACUCUUGGUACAGGAUCUCACCACACGGGUCAAGGUUUCCAUCUCAUUUCUACUCUGAAGCUCACCUUCUCCUCCUCAAACUGCUGAGAAAUGUUUCUGCUGCUCUAAAGUCUGCUCUCCAGAACUUCCUAAAAACUCUCAAAGUCUCUUCUGCUGCAGGUUGCUUUGUAGAACUGUUCCAGAAAACCUCACUAAACCACAUGGAGGGGCCUCAAGAUAGUCGUCCAAAUGAAACCAUACAAAAACCAAACUAGCACAACCCAAAUGCUAAAGUCUCCUGCAGCCUACCAGAGAACCUCUUUAAACAGAGAAUCAUGACAGGAACUCUUACCUUCUGGACAACCAAUGCUGGUUCACAAACAAGAAUACAGAAUGUGUCUGACCAAAAACCUCUAAAGACUCACUACAGCCAAGAUAAAGACACAGCUCACCUGCACCAAAUCCACUAAUCACUGCACACAUUAGCACCAUGUGCUAACUGUGGCUAAAGAACCACAUUUACCAAGACAACUAUCCAGUACAAAGCCCUAAAACACACCAAGAAACACAUUAAAGACAAUUUUACUGCUGGAAGCUGCAAGCCAACGCCUAAAAAACAAACUAAAGCAACAGAGUCAAACCCGGUUCAAUGGUGAAGAGAAACAGAGGAAAUGUUUGGCUGCAGCUAAAUAAAGCAGGAAGACACUGAGCUGCUCAGGUGUUCCUGAUAACACCAAGCAGCCACCUGGACAGCCAAUAGGAACACAGCUUACUGGAAGUCCAGAGGGCUGGGUUAGUGAAGGAAAUUUAGUUUAAAGUUGAAGCAGAAAGUUAACAAAGAAAGUUGAAAACCACCUUCUGAUACCUGAAAUCUCUGAGUUUUCACACAAAGAACACCUGAACAUGUCAAACUGGUUCCAUAGUAGAACCAUCAUUGUAAAAACGUCAUAGUAUGGUGUGUUGCUCAAAAAACAUUACGACCCGGCUGUCUAGGGUCACCGAGGAGCAACACAAAAACAGGACAAAAGCUGGUUUCCAGGGGGUUAGGCAGCUAUUUAUUUGAAAGAGUAUGUUUACAACAACACGUGAGCAGAAAAAUCACAAAGUCUGUCUUUAGUUCAGCUGAAAAUAUUAGUUUUUGUCUUUUUUAUUGACCAAACUUUUUAGGAAGUAGAUGAAGAAUAAUUAAAGCUCUCAUGUAGAAGUCCAACUUAUUUUGGAUCCUUGUGGAGAGUUUAAUCUUAGAGUUUGUAAAGCUGUUGAGUGUUUAGAGACACAUGGAUUGUUUUGACAUUUAAUAACCGAGUCCUGAAAUAAAAUUACAGUUGUGGAUUUCUGUCAUUUAGUCUGGACUAAACAAAUAACAGCAGCAUAAAUCUUAAAUGUCAUUAUGAGGAGUCUGGAUUGAGGUUUCUGACUUGAUAAUGAUCAAAACAUGAAAUUUUGUUUGGUUUAAAGGAAUAUUCCACCUUAAAUCUUUGAAUGUUGACCUAAAAGGUUGGUUUCAGGAAGUAUUCCACCUACAAGGUCCUCAAACAUCCACCUUAAAGGAACAUUCCACCAAAAAUCCUUGGACAUGCACCUAAAAUGUUGGUUUAACCGAGUAUUCCAUCCAAAAUCCUCAAAGAGACCUGAGGGGCUGGUUAAAAGGAAUAUUCCACCUAAAACCCCAAAUAUAGACCCAAAGGGUGGUUUAGAAAAAAUCCUUCAAUGUAGACCAAAAAACUUAGUAUGGAGGAAUAUUCCACCUGAAAUGUAGACCUGAGAAGUUGGUUUGGAAGAAUAUACCAUCCUAAACAUCCUUAAAUGUAGACUAAAAGACUGUUUGGAAGAAAAUUCCACCUAAAAUCCUCCAAUGUAGACCUAAAAGGUGAGUUUAAUGGUAUAUUCCACCUAAAAUCCACUACUGUAGACCUUGGAGGUUGGUCUGAUGGUAUAUUCCACCCAACAUCCUUGAACAUAAACUUAAAAAGUUCAUUCAAAGGAAUAUUCCACCUAAAAUCUUUCAAUGUAGACCAAAAAAUCUUGCUGUAAAGGAGUAUUCCACCUUAAAUGUAGACCUAAAGGAUGGUUUGGAUUAAUAUUCUACUCUAAAAUCUUCCAAUGUAGACCUAAAAGGUUGAUCUGAUGGUAUAUUCUACCCAACAUCCUGGAACAUUUACCUAAAAGGUUGCUUUAAUGGUAUAUUCCCAGAAGAACCCUUGAACAUUGGGCUUAAUGGUAUAUUCCACCCAAAAUACUUGUACAUAUACCAAGAAGUUAGUGUAAAGGAAAGACCUAAAAGGAUUGUUUAAAGGAAGAUUUAAACUGUUAUUUUCAUUAUUUAAUAAUCUGUUAUCAGUCAGAACCCUGGCAAACUUAUUUUCAUCAGUUUUUUUAGUGGAAGUCACAAAUAAAGGAGCUCUUGGUUUUUCCCAGCGUUACUGAGUCCAAAGCUGCUGUUUCAACACAGAACGUUCACAUGCAUCCACAAACCUCUCAGCACUCAAACACCCACAGACAGGAGGCCGGCUGGGCCGAGGCUCGGCGGCGUCCUCAGACCCACGAGUCGGGGAGUCGCUGAACUUGUUGGUCCGGUUUGAAGGCCUCCAUGUGGUCCAGUAGAAGUCCACGUAGUCGGUGUUGGCUUUGAACCACAGCGACUGGCCUCCAUCAGGUGGACCGGCUCGUCCUCGUAUGGCUCCUCCUGUAGCCUUGAAGGGACCACAGGAACAUUCAGUAGCUGUUGGAGUUCUUCCUGUCAGGCUCGUGGUAGAACGGCUCUGAAGAAUCUUGUACUUGUCUUAUCUGGAACAAUCUAACAGCCUAAACUGUUAACAGCAGUGUAAAGAAGCAAACACACAGGCAUAGAUUAGGACUCAAACUAGAUUUAUUUUAGAAAACAAAUCAGCUUAGAGGCAUUUGUUCACACAUGUGGCUGAAUAGGAGGCCGUCCAAUCAGAUUUGAGGUCUUCACUCUGUAGGUUUUGUUGGGUGAGACUCUUGGACCUCCAUCAGCUGACGUGGAUGUUUGAUGGUCUUCCUCUCUAGUGCCAGAUGAUUCAUCCAUGAAUUCAGCAGCUACAGACUGAAAUGAAGCUCAUGCUGCUGUGAUUGAAUUCCUGUUCCAGAUCAAAUGUUCAGAGCUCACCUUGAAUGCAGCCGUCUGCUGUCUGAUAGUUUUUCUCAUUGCAGUCUUCAAUAAAGUCUUUUUCCUCAUGUCAGGAUGUGGUGAGACUCUUUCUCAGUUGCUGCAGACGUCCCUCAUUGUGCAUCUCCAGAGAAGAAACAGAAAAACUGAUCACUGCUUCAGCAUCACAAACGCUCUCCAACA